GGAGGGUGCGAGCGUUAAUCGGAAUUACUGGGCGUAAAGCGCGCGCAGGCGGCUGGGUCAGUCGGAUGUGAAAGCCCCGGGCUUAACCUGGGAAUUGCAUUCGAUACUGCCCGGCUAGAGUAUGGGAGAGGGAAGUGGAAUUUCCGGUGUAGCGGUGAAAUGCGUAGAUAUCGGAAGGAACACCAGUGGCGAAGGCGGCUUCCUGGCCCAAUACUGACGCUCAGGUGCGAAAGCGUGGGGAGCGAACAGGGAUUAGAUACCCUGGUAGUCCACGCUGUAAACGAUGAGAACUAGAUGUUGGGAGGGUUAGCCUCUCAGUGUCGCAGCUAACGCGUUAAGUUCUCGCCUGGGGAUACGACCGCAAGGUUG
rnacentral:rRNA from 1 species